UACGAAGGGUGCAAGCGUUACUCGGAAUUACUGGGCGUAAAGCGUGCGUAGGUGGUUUGUUAAGUCUGAUGUGAAAGCCCUGGGCUCAACCUGGAGACGCCAUUCGAUACUGGUGUGGCUAGAGUCCAGUAGGGGAGUGUGGAAUUCCUGGUGUAGCGGUGAAAUGCAUAGAUAUCAGGAGGAACACCAGCGGCGAAGGCGGCACUCUGGGCUGGAACUGACGCUGAGGAGCGAAAGCGUGGGGAGCGAACAGG
rnacentral:rRNA from 1 species